GUCCGCAACGAGCGCAACCCCUACGUUUAGUUGCUAACGCGUGAAGGCGAGCACUCUAGACGAACUGCCGUUGACAAAACGGAGGAAGGUGGGGAUGACGUCAAAUCAUCAUGCCCCUUAUGUUCUGGGCUACACACGUGCUACAAUGGCCGGUACAGACGGACGCAAAGCCGCGAGGUGGAGCAAAUCCUAAAAAGCCGGUCUCAGUUCGGAUUGCAGGCUGCAAUUCGCCUGCAUGAAGUCGGAAUCGCUAGUAAUCGCAGGUCAGCAUACUGCGGUGAAUACGUUCCCGGGCCUU
rnacentral:rRNA from 1 species